GGCGUGUUGAGCGAGGGUUUCGCGGGCCUGGGGAGGGGGGGGACCGUUAAAGUUCUGUACUGCGUCCACAUGAAGCUGCUUUAAUAGCUAGAUCUACUUGUUAUUAGACUCUUGGCUGGAAAAGAUUUUGAAGACCAUGUGGUUCAACUUCCAAAGCGCAGACGUGGAAAUUGAAGUCCAGAGAGGGUAUGGAACUUGUAUAAGGUCGCACCGUGGUUUAGUAAUAGUAACUUGGUCUGGACUGGACUCUAGCGUUCCUAACUACUCCUUGGCCUUUCACGACGCUUUCCCUCCAAGGAGGCCCCUUAGGUCUGUUUGUAGGUUUUGAGACCUGUGUUUUUAUAGUCUCACUUAGGGAUGGGCUUAGAUUUCCGUCCGUAGUUACCAGGUAUUUGACAGAAUAGAAAUGUUUCUGCCCUUCAGAGGUGCCCCUACGAAGGCAUAACCUUGACCCAGAAUGAAUGUGUUUACAGUCAUAAAGGAUCGUGUUUCUUGGUCUUUUUUAGUCUUAGGAACUCAUGAAGAUCUUUUCUUAGCAAAAUUCCUGUUUAAAAAAAAAAAAGUGCGGUUUCUUGACUUCCCCUGACAUUGGUAGGUGGGCUCCAGGUUAAGCAUUUCCUGAAUUGAUCGGGAGUUUGCAUUUAAUACCAGCGACUGGGGCAGAGGCAGAAAGAUUACAGGUUUUCGGCCAACCUGAAAAUGUAGACUUUGUCUCAAAAAAGGCUGGGGAUGUAGCUUAGUGGUAGAGCACCUGCCUAACAUGCACAAAGCGCUGGAUUCCAUCCCCAGCACAGCAAAAAAGAAGAAAAGUUACAUUUCAUUUUGUUGAUUCAAGGUGAAUUGGAUGUAGCUGAUUUAUAGAGCUCUUCACUAUAUAGCUUGAGCUUGAAAUUAUUGCUCUACAUUGCCACACUGGGAAAACUUUCAAGUCAGUCUUUGCUGACUUGAAAAAAAAUUAGGAAAGCUUGGCCAUUUAUCUUUGAUUUUUGAAAGAAGAAAUGAUCUUUCUCUGCUAGCAAUUUCUUUGCAGUUCUGAGGUUAGAAGCAUAUGGAGGUCAUUCCUCACACCAUAUUGUGACUAGUUAUUUCCUGUGGCUUCACCGUUCCCUCACCCCAGCCUUGAGCACUGUCUACUAAUGGUGGGAGAAGCCCUGUGUGUGUAACUUUGCAAUAAAUUGAUGAAGAUUUGGGUGUCAUCCAUGAAAAUUUUGAAUUGUCCUUCCAUGGAUUACCCACACUACAGAUGAUCUACAUACACCUUUGCUUCUUAGUCAAGUUUUUCCUGCUCUCCAGCAGUUUGCCAGACCACUUACUCUACCUCAAAACCAGUCAUGACAUUGGUAGGUGAGGGCGAAUUCGUUCAUUUGCUAGUUUAUUCAUUAAUUUUAGCAGUGCUGCAGAUUGAACCCAGACCUUGUGCAUGCUAGGCAAGUGCUACAUCCCAGGCCUCAAAAUGGAUUAUUUAUUUAUUGGGGUAUCAAGAUAGAACUCAGGGGCACUCACCCAGUAAGCCACAUCACCAGCCCUAUUUUGUAUUUUAUUUGGAGACAGGAUUUCACUGAGUUGCUUAAUGCCUCGCUUUCUUGAGGCUGGCUUUGAACUCACAGUCCUCCUGCCUCAGGCUCUCGAGCCACUGGGAUUGCAAGUGUGCACCACCAUGCCCCACUCAAAUGGAUUUUUAAAGUAACUGAAAUAAAAUCCUGAGAAAAUAAAAGUUUAGCAGUAAAGUUCUGGUCAACCAUUAGACCCUGGGCUUGGGGUUGUAGCUCUGUGGUAGAGCAUUUGCCUAGCAUGCCCCUGGAUUCCAUUCCCAGCACUAAAACAAAAUGUUUAUAGUCUAAGGUUACUAAUGGAGCUGUUAGUCAAAAGUACUCCCAUGCUACUGCAUUCAGCAGGUGUUGCUGAGGCACCGAUAGCAUGAAUGUUGUGCUCAGACUCCAGAAACUGGCUUCCUGUGUUCAUUUCCUAGCUUUACAGACUCUUAGCCUGUGUAACUUUUAAUGUAAAAUGGGGGUAAUAAUUGUACUUUCCUCAUAAAGCUUUUGGGAGAUCCUAAGUGAGUUAGUACAUGUUGCAUAGGAACACUGCCCUAAAAAUGUUAUAUAUGCAUUAGCUGUUAUCUGUUUAGCAAAUUUUAUGCUAAGUUAGUACUUUUGGGUCUUUAUCCUGUUAGGGAAGAUAGAUUUUAAUCAUUUAACCUCUCAAAUGUGAAGUGAAAAUGACACUGCCAAGGAAUAACCAGUUGGGACUCAAGGCAAGCAUACCCAAAGAAGGGAAGAAUUGGGCUAGGGUUGUGGUUCAGUGGUAGAGCACUUGCCUAGCAUGUGUGAGGCACUGUGUUCAAUUCUCAGCACCACAUAUAAAUAAAUAAAUGAAAUAAAGGUCCAUCAGCAACUAAAAAUUUUUUUUAAAAAAAGAACGAAGGAAUUGCAUGUACAGAGGCUUUGUGGUGGGAAGGAAUUGGGGGUUACAAGGAACAGCAAGACCAAUAUCCCCAAAACACAAGAUAACAAAGGACUGAGGGAACUAGAAUAUUGAGUAGGGAAACCUUGCAUACCAUGCAAGCAGUUUUUUCUGUAUCCUAAGAGCAAAGAGGAGCUAUUGAAGUGUUUUAAGAAGGAUGGUGGUUGCAGUGUGGGAUUGGAUGGAAUGAGAUAAGCAGAUGCAGGGAACCAGGUUAGGAGGUCAUCAAUAUAAUCCAGAUAAGAGUUGGUACUUGUGAAAAGGAAAACCAUAGCAGGAAUGAUGGAAACAAAGGAGUACCAAAAGUAAUUAACUUGGUGAUUGGAAGAAAGAGUUGUCACUAUAUCUAUAGAUUUCUGGCUUGCACUGUGGAAGGGAUACUGAUGCCACUUUGCAGUGUAUCCCAAGUGGGAGGAAUUGGACCUUCCUCUGUGAUUAAUAGGACAGGGUAGGGUACAUGGGGCUUCGAGUUGCAUUUCUUGGACUAUGUAUGGAUUGCAAAGUGCAUUUCAUUUUGACAGGUUUUUCUCUGUAACUUUUUGUAUGUCAGAAGUAUUCAUGACCAAUGCUAGGGCUGAAGUUCAGAAAGUAUUGUGUUCAUCCACAAAUAAAAAAAUAUUUAAA
rnacentral:lncRNA from 1 species